rnacentral:misc_RNA from 1 species
ACUGACAAUUGCGCGUAUUCGGCAUUUUUGGGAAAGAAGGAUGUUUAGUAUCUAAGUUUUGUAACUUUGUGGGUAGAAAAUAUCGAUAUUCAAACGAAAAUUUAUGAUUAUAUGUCUCUGAAGUCUAGACAAUUUCAUUAUUUUUAUUGAAGGGAAGCGAGAAGAUGUCUGGUUAUUUGGAGAAAAAAUAUUUUAUCAUUAUAUGCUGCUGAUGUCUAGACAAUUUCAUUCUUUCAUUGAAGGGAUGCAAAAGGUUGUUUGGUUUAUUUUGGAGAGAAAAUAUUUCAUGAAUAUAUGGUGUUGUAGUCUAGUCUAUCUCAUUAUUUUAUUGCAGGGAUGCCAAAGGAUGUUUGGUUAUUUGAAGUAAAAAUUUCGGGUUGGAAACCUCGACCGUAAAAUCCAUUAGCACGUUCAGAAGUGCAUUGGCAUAUUUGAGAUAGAAACCCUCGAAGAGUCCAUUAGGACAUUCAGGAACUUUUAUAGUGUGUCUAGACAAUAUUAUUUUAUUGAAGGGAUGCAAGAGGUUGUUUGAUUUAUUUGAAGAAAAAAUUCGGGUAGGAAACCUUAACCGUAAAAUCCAUUAGCACGUUCAGAAGUGCAUUGGCAUAUUUGAGGUAGAAACCGUCGAAAUGUCCAUUGGGACAUUCGGGAAGUUUUAUAGGUUGAUAAAGACGGAAUUCUAACAAUUUUGUGAUUAUAUGACGCUGCACUCUGGACAAAUGUAAAAUCUCAAAUUAGUUUCUACCAACAAUAAACUCUUACUACCCUUUUCUUUCAUUUUUAUUUUUGUAUCGUUGGGACAAAUCAUAAGACUCGAAUUCAACCCCCCACCAGAAAGGGCCGACCUUUCCAAACACCAGAACAGAAUCAGAAGGGACAAUACAUCAUUCUGUUGGAGUAUCUCUCACCCAUCAAACUAACUUGCAGUGACACAGUCAAGUCAAGUGAUAUAGUUGACUCAAGCAACCCAAUAUUCAUCGUCGAUUCUUAGCAGUUGAAGUUAUCUUAAUUUCAAUAAAGCAGCCAGGUGAAGCAACUCCAUCAACGCCUUCAAAUCUUAGCAGCUGAAAAUUCAUCUCGAUAACCAUGUCUUUGUUGAAAGAAGCUUUAUUGAAACCAUCAAGCUCUGUGAACCGAUCAGAAAUGUGUGAAGUGGAGCGUAGGGAUGUAAUUGUCCACCAGAACGUGAUCAUUCAGGAAGGCAGGGAGAUACCACAACCGGUGAUGACUUCCAUUCAGCAGAUGCACAAUGCUAAAUCUUUUUAAAAUGGAUUCAAUUCAAACCAUGUGGAGUUGAAUGACAAUCCCUCAAACUUUGAUAAUGUGAUGGCGACUCACACCCAGAAUCUUGAUGAGUCACUUCCGAACUUAUCACAAACUGUUGUGAGUAAUAUAUUAGAGAUGGAGGAAACGUAUUCGAAGAAUAUGGGAUCCCCACAUAGUUCAAUCAAUCAGAACAGUUCGGUUAAUGACCUUGAGAGACGUAAAAGAAAAAAAAAAAGGGAGAGUGAAGAAAAGAUAAUGAAGAAGGCGAAGAAGUCUGAAAAGUCUAGCUUGAAGUCGCCAUCUAGAAGGAGGAACAAGAUGAAACAUGAAAAAAGGGAUAAAGACAAGCCGAUAAAAGUGAGAGAGAUGGAAGUCAUAGCAGGACCUUCUAUAUCACUCCAACAGGUUCCUGAAUACGAGGAUGUUAGCCCGGGAAGCACACCGCCCCCAACGAUUGACCUCGAAAAAUGAGACGAUUGGUUUUCAUUUAUGAGAUCCAGGAGAGACAAAUUUUUAGAGAUGUAUCACGUUUACAAUGGAUUCGAAACGGAAUAUAGAGCGAAGAGGGAAAAACUUGUUGAAUUGGAAGAGCAAGUUUCUCUCCUCAAAGUGGAAUGUGAACAAAUGAGAGCAGCUCAACGAGAGAGAUCUGCUCACAUGAAAAAACUUUCUCCCAAAAUUCGACAAUUGGAAAUCUUCAGUAAGGAGAUACAUGAAAAUUCCAUCUUACAUCUCUUGUAAAAAUUUUUAUCUUUCCCUAUACAUUUGCAAUUCAUGUAUCAUAAUAUUUUCUAUAUUAUUUUCAUAUCUGUAUUAUUCAGAGCAAUCGUGUCGAGAAAUCUCCCCCAAUAAAUAUUUUGUAAAUA